rnacentral:rRNA from 1 species
UACGUAGGUGACUAGCGUUGUCCGGAUUUACUGGGCGUAAAGAGCGCGCAGGCGGUCGUUCAAGUCGGGUGUGAAAGCCCCCGGCUCAACUGGGGAGGGUCAUUCGAUACUGAUCGACUCGAAGGCAGGAGAGGGAAGCGGAAUUCCCGGUGUAGUGGUGAAAUGCGUAGAUAUCGGGAGGAACACCAAUGGCGAAGGCAGCUCGCUGGGACGGUACUGACGCUGAGACGCGAAAGCGUGGGGAGCAAACAGG